AUCCAACUGACGAGUCCUAACUAGGACAAAAUGCGUGUCCUGGAC
rfam:Schistosoma curassoni strain Dakar, Senegal genome assembly, scaffold: SCTD_scaffold0002659